rnacentral:rRNA from 1 species
AUGGGAGCGAAGCUUUCCUGCUUCUCCAACCACGGAGGCAUCCUCUCGCAGCAGCCACACCAGCCGGCGCCUGUCAGGGUCAUUGCCGCCGACGGAUCGCUGAAGGAGCUCCCGGCCAGCCCACGCGUCACCGUCUCCAACGUGCUCGGCGGCAACGCCGCGUCCUUCUUCGUGUGCAGCUCCGACGCGCUCUACUUCGACCAGAGCCCUCCGGCGCUGGCAUCCGGGGAGGUACUCCAGGCGGGGCAGAUAUACUUCGUGCUCCCGGCGGCGUUGCUCUGGCGGCCGCUAUCCAGCGCCGAGAUGGCCUCGCUUGCGGUGUGA